GGACCCAUAGCUCAGCGGUAGAGCAUCUGAUUCCAGCCGGAAAACUUACUACAGUUAAUAGAGGAUAACUGCUCAUUCUUGUAGUAAAGCCUACUGCCUCCAGAAGGUCAUCCGUUCAAAUCGGGUUGGGUUCA